AUUGAACGCUGGCGGCAGGCCUAACACAUGCAAGUCGAACGAGCGGCGGACGGGUGAGUAAUGUAUGGGGAUCUGCCCGAUAGAGGGGGAUAACUACUGGAAACGGUAGCUAAUACCGCAUACUAUCGGAUGAACCCAUCUGGGAUUAGCUAGUAGGUGGGGUAAAGGCUCACCAAGGCGACGAUCAGUAGCGGGUCUGAGAGGAUGAUCAGCCACACUGGGACUGAGACACGGCCCAGACUCCUACGGGAGGCAGCAGUGGGGAAUAUUGGACAAUGGGCGCAAGCCUGAUGCAGCCAUGCCGCGUGUAUGAAGAAGGCCUUCGGGUUGUAAAGUACUUUCGGCGGGGAGGCGUUACCCGAAGAAGAAGCACCGGCUAACUACGUGCCAGCAGCCGCGGUAAUAC
rnacentral:rRNA from 1 species